UGCAUUGUGUGCAACAAAGGUAAAUUUAGGUUGAGCUGAGGAUGUUCUAAGAGCAAGUGUGCAAAGCUGAGCUUCUGAAUAGGUAUUAUGCCCUAUCAAGGACUCAUUGUUUAGCAGAUCCUAUACCUAACAAUGCCUCAUUGUGAAGGUUCCAAAGAUCAGUGCAUUAAGUACCAGUUUUUCAGACCCCCUUCACAUUUUCAGUGGCUUCUAGUGCUGCACACACUAGGAUAUUCCUAUUACAGUCAUACCUGGGUGUUCAUCUAUUGGCUGCAGAAGUAGUGGGGGUUUUAUUAAAUGGAUGGGACAAGCAUUUCAGAUCACUGGUUUCUUUUCUUCAAGAGUUGUAUUCUACCCCAUGCCAGAGAAAUCUCUUUUUAGGAUUUGAGACCUGCUGCUGUUACAAAUCUGGAAAACUAACCUUGGACUUAUCAAACUAUUUCACUUGGAUGGAUAUUUCACUCAAAGACCUGGAGGGAGAUCACUGGAGGGAGGUCACGAUGCACAAUUAACACCCAUUUAAGAUGAAAAACUGUAGGAUAUGGCCUUCAACAGAAGAGAAGAUCCUGGAUCAUUGUACAAUGUGAAGUGGACAUGUGCAAUGGUAUUCACUUGGAAAGACUGCUCUAAGACAGGCGCACAAAGAAAUAAAGUGGGGCUUCUUUGUUGGCAACCAUUAAUAUCCAAAAAUGCUACAGAAACCAAUGGACUAUUAAGAACGAGUUAACCACAGAGUGGCAUCAUGGUUCAGAACUGCUGGUGGAGUGAGCUGCUAAUUUUUACUGCUGAGAAGGUAAUGUGUGAAUCAUGUUAAGGAGUUUCCCCUCCACUAGUCCCCCACUGGAUUAUCUAAGCAGCCACUAGUCUCAAGACAGGCCUAAGCCUGAUGAAGCAUUGUACUGGCACGGCAGGAAGUGGCUCCAAUGACUGCCCCUCAGAUACACACCUCCAAUUUGCUGCUACUGUUGGGCUGCCAGCUAAUCAGGAGAGCAAGUACUGGACUGACAUUCUGAAGGCCUGCGGUCUGUUCCCAAGCACUGCCAUUGGCCUGUGGGAUGAUACCAAGAAAGCCAUUUUGCCUCUACUUCCUCUCUGCAAAAUAUGGAUAAUGAUACUGAACACCCUUUGUACAACACUGAGCUCUGCUAAUGAAUAGUAUUGGAAAAGCUAGGUAUUAUUGGCCCAAUUCUCAUUCACCCUCUAUUGGUGCAAAAUGUUCUUUCUAGAAAUACUCUUCUUUGGCUUAUAUGGACUACAGCUACAAGGAGGAGACAACAUUCCUCUUCUCCCACCCACUAGAGAGAUGCUGCUGUUGUAAGAAUGGUGGUAAUAGUGAGCAUGAGAAAUGAGAAGAUGCCAUCCUGCACUUAAGGCUGGAGGCUGCACAGGCAGCCCACAGAAAAAAGUUCUGGUCAUGUGAUUAAGAGUUGAAUAGGGUGUAAAAAAAUAAAUGAGGAACUUGUACAUUUCACCAACUGCUAGGUUGGCAGAGCAAGUGGGGCAUAUGCUAAAGAUGGCUCUGGAACAUAAAAAGGUUGGCCAUUCACACAGCAUUUUUUUUUAAUGUAAAUGUUAACUUUAUUAAUGCUGUUAAAAUAUCCAAACAUACAGGAUGUAUAAUGUCUCCAACUUAACACUCUGGGGACAUGUGGGAAAUCAACUUUUUGGAGCAUUUGAUUGUUAAAUCUUAACUUUGCAUUAGCACCUUAUUUGAGCUAUAAUUUUGUAUAUUUGUUUUAACUCUAGUAAAGAAAAUUAAGUAGCAAUGGGAAACUAUUAUCUUAACUAAUCACUUUUGUAUAAUUUCCUGUAGCUCUAACAUUGAUUGCACUCAUAUGUCAAAAAGAUAUCGGCAUACAGCCAGUGAAGAUUCAGGAUUAGUCUACUAAUUUACCCACUUAAUAGAAUUGCAUACCACCAAUUGAAUGCUUCACAAAAUGUAAAUAUUGCACAAUCAAACCAAUAAAGCCUCAAAUACCUCCAAGUCGCAAGCAAUUAUCUUCAUUAUACAAGUGCACAAAAGAGGAAGAGGCACAUUUGAAUUACAGCUUCACUUAAAAUCCACAAUAGGUAUAGUACUGAUUGACUAAUAUUAAAGCAAAGUCCAUCUUAGUUCUCAAGAACCGGGUGCUUUCGAAGUGGAAUGUGAGUACAUAUUUGCUCAAAAGUCAUCUUGAUUUCAGUAUUAUCUCCUCUGUAUGUUUUCCAAGGAAGUAUACAGGAAUAAAAAUAUUACUCAACACUUUAUGGACCAAAUGAAAUUAUUUCAUCCUGGAGCUACCUGAUAAAUGCCUUUCCUGUUACAGCAGAGUCAAUAUGCUUGCUGUGCAACACAUUGUUGCAUAUGAAAAAGCCUAACAAAACAGGAAACCCAGUGCAAUCAUUUAUCUUAUGAAUGUAAAAACAUUGUGCACAUUCUUAACAUAAGUACAUGUAAUGGUCAUAAAUGCCAGUGCUGUUUUUCUCCAUGUACAAGAGAACUUGAUCAGCAUAUGAAAGACAUUCCAUUGGGGAGCAGUUUGUUAUGGAUUUAUUAGAGACUUCGUUGAUAUCAAAAGCACAGGUAAAUUAAGUCUAUACUAUGUUGCCAGGAGACUUGUGCUGCUGAUGAGAGAAAAUUAAACAGGAAUUCCUUUAUAGCUCUGCCAUUUUUUAGUUAGCAGCUAGGAACCGCUGCUAUUAACUACUAGCUACUGUAAGCAGAAAAAGACAAGCAGUGCAUAUUUUAACUAAGGCAACUAAAGCCAAGUAUAAGUCAAUAGAAAAUCACCUUUAUAAGUUAGAAUAACCGGAUUUGGGGGAACGUGGCUGUUUUGGCUCCAAGAUAUUUGCAGCAUAAUAAUAUCAGGACCAGGAUACAGCUGCCUUGUGACUAAGACGAUGUUCACUGAAUAAGUGCUAUCCAAUCACCAGACGUCACCAGACAUCUGUUUCCUGUUUUCAUUCUUUCACUGUUAUCAUUUUAUCCGAAUUACCCCUUCACCUGAAGGCCAUUUAGAAAUCUACUACAAUUGAAGUCUGAGUGUCUGUACCAGACACUGACUUGAAUUGCUCCUGCUAAGUGUCAUUGAAACAUUGAAAGCUAACAUUGAAACAAAAUCACUUUUUAAAAUGCACAAUACACACACACACACUUACACUUCAGUCUUCACUAAAAUGACUAACUUCCUUCUUUGCUUCCACCUCAGUAGCCUUCCUGUUGAGUACCACUACCUCCACAAAGUACAAUUGUGAAUUGAUUCAUAAAAACAGAAACAUUAUGGCACAAAUAAGGGAAGGCAAUAAAUAUUUUCUCCCCCCGCGCCUCACCAAAAAUGGAGCAACCAGUAUUGUAGUAACAAUAAAAAAAGGUGUCACUUGUCAUUUAAGUUUCCAAACCAACAAUCAUCAGGAUGCAUAACAGGAUACCUGUAAAAUGAGAAAGUUAUUUACUCCACACUCAAAAUAACACCAGAAGCUAUGUUUUUGGCAUAUGGGAUCACUUAAGAACAUGCCAAAGUUAUGAACCUUGUAAAAACGCUCACAUUAACACCACUGAAUAGCAGGAAUUGGGUCUCACUUUUAUACCACAAUAUUCCAGCUUCUUUUAAACUGCAAGCCAGGAGUCUGGGGCAAUUACUUCUUAGCAUCUAUAUCUGGGACAAUGGAAACCUACAGUUAUUUUGUUAAUGUAAAUUUUAUUCCACGCGAGAUUGUCAGACUCCGUGAGAUUUCACUGGGAUCAUGGAGAAGAUGUGAAGGGUUUUCCCCACUUAGUUUUUCUGAUUCCACCUGUGAAUUGAGCAGCUCAAGAAGCUGGGUUGAUAAACACCAAGUCAUCAAGCCCUCCACCCUGAAAAAAAGAAAGGGAGGUGGAAGGCAGGAAGAAAAAUAGCUUUUCUUAAAGCCUACAGCAGAGGCUUGGACCCCAUAGAGUCAGAGUGGGGGAGCACAGAAGGGUGCUGGCAAUAAGUAGCUUAUCCCUAGGAUAUGGGAUAAUUUCAUAGCUAAGAGAUGUUUACAAUUCCCUCAGGUACCUGAAAAUUAGAUUGGGGAAGAGGGAUAUUAUUUAACUCUUGGCAUAGGUGCUGGAACUAAGGGUACUGCAUCUCUUAGCUCAAAGUGGUUUUGAUCAUAUACAGUGUUUAUUUUAGUCCAAUGGCUCUCAGCACCCCCCACUAGACAAAUUCUUCCAGCAUGCCUGUCUUGGUCUUCUAGACUUUCUGCAGAAGAGAAAAGGAAACAUGCCAGAAAGAGAUCCAACAGCUUCUCCCUGUUUAGUGCCUUAUCCAACUUCCAUUGUAACACAUGGGAAUCAUUCCAUUAACUUAGUGAGAGUUGAUUAAUCCUUUAUUGAUGGAGUAGGCCCCAGAUGCUUCAAAGUACUAUUUUGCUCAUCUAUAUUGAGUAAAGGGGAGAGAAUCUGGCAUCCAAAUAAAUAUUCCUUCACAUGAGUAUAUAAUGUUCAAAGUAGAGCGGAUUAAAGAUUCUCACUCUAAAACAUCUGUUGGAAAAUAUGGUUGCCAAAAAAAAUUCAAGAAAAAUGUUGGUUGUUGCAAUUUCAGUUUUCCUAAUGGAAAAUCAUGAUGAAAAAUUCAAUUUCUUAGCUAGAUUUAGUUUUAAUUAUAAUUUCCAGUAUCCCAUGCGGAGAUUAUAUAAAAUCACCUCAUGAAAUCCUCAUUAAUGAGGUUUAUUCUAACUACUCCUGGGAAAUAGGAAAGAAUUAUUCUCAUUCUAGAGAUGGGAAAUAAUUGACACACAGGGCAGAUUAAGUGACUGGACCAAACUUGUACAUUAUGUUUGAACGAGAAUCAGCUCAGUUACAAUGUCCUAUCUCUAAACUCCUAAUUUUAAUAUAUGCACCUUAUCUAAAGUUAAUGGCUAUAAAAACAGCAACAUUUGCUGAUACUGCUUUUUGUAUACAUUUUUACUUGCUUAGAUUUUCUAUUUAUAAUAUUUUAGAAAAAUCCUGAUUAGACACACACGUGUGUCUAAACUGGUUUUAAAUAUCUGAUUAAAUCAAAAGUUCGUGUUCUAAUUUAUGUCUGCCACUGACCAGUCAAGUCACUACUAUGGCCUCAGGAAAGUUAUUUAAUCUCUCUGCUUCAGGAACACUAGCUGUAAAAUGAGACUACUACUGGUGUCUCUCAAAAGUGUUGAGGAUUCAGUUUUGUAGAAUUCACUGAAUAAAUUCUGAAGUGUGGACUGAAUAAAUU